GACGAACGCUGGCGGCGUGCUUAACACAUGCAAGUCGAACGGUAAGGCCCUUCGGGGUACACGAGUGGCGAACGGGUGAGUAACACGUGGGUGAUCUGCCCUGCACUUCGGGAUAAGCCUGGGAAACUGGGUCUAAUACCGGAUAGGACCACUGCCUGCAUGGGUGGUGGUUGAAAGCUUUUGCGGUGUGGGAUGGGCCCGCGGCCUAUCAGCUUGUUGGUGGGGUGAUGGCCUACCAAGGCGACGACGGGUAGCCGGCCUGAGAGGGUGACCGGCCACACUGGGACUGAGAUACGGCCCAGACUCCUACGGGAGGCAGCAGUGGGGAAUAUUGCACAAUGGGCGCAAGCCUGAUGCAGCGACGCCGCGUGAGGGAUGACGGCCUUCGGGUUGUAACCUCUUUCAGCACCGACGAAGCGCAAGUGACGGUAGGUGCAGAAGAAGGACCGGCCAACUACGUGCCAGCCGCCGCAGUAA
rnacentral:rRNA from 1 species